rnacentral:tRNA from 1 species
UGGGUUGUGGCCCAGUGGUAGAGUGCUCAUCUCACAUGUGUGAAGCACUGGGUUUAAUUCUCAGCACCACAU